ACGGGGGGUGCAAGCGUUGUUCGGAAUCAUUGGGCGUAAAGCGCGCGAAGGCGGCUUGGUAAGUCAGAUGUGAAAUCUCUGGGCUUAACCCAGGAAGUGCAUUUGAUACUGCCUCGCUAGAGUACAGGAGAGGAAAGUGGAAUUCCUGGUGUAGAGGUGAAAUGCGUAGAUAUCAGGAGGAACACCGAUGGCGAAGGCGACUUACUAGGAUGAUACUGACGCUCAGGCGCGAAAGCGUGGGGAGCUAACAG
rnacentral:rRNA from 1 species